CAGAAACCUCCAUCCACCCUAAUUCCUCUGACCGGCCCAUAACAGACUCCACACCUGCUGGAAUCACUAAAACAUCUGUGACAUUUGCACAAGGACCUCUGUCAGAUCCAAAUAUUGUCCGUACACUCAUCUCUGUGAUAGUGUUCCUCUGUGUGCUGCUGUCUGUGGUCUGUGUCCUGGCCGUG